rnacentral:rRNA from 1 species
UACAGAGGUCUCAAGCGUUGUUCGGAUUCAUUGGGCGUAAAGGGUGUGUAGGUGGCGCCGUAAGUCGGGUGUGAAAUUUUCGGAGCUUAACUCCGAAACUGCAUUCGAUACUGCGGUGCUUUGAGGACUGGAGAGGAGACUGGAAUUCAUGGUGUAGCAGUGAAAUGCGUAGAGAUCAUGAGGAAGACCAGUGGCGAAGGCGGGUCUCUGGACAGUUCCUGACACUGAGACACGAAGGCCAGGGGAGCAAACGGG